GGCAAAGGGAGGUGGGUGAAAGGUGAGAGGAAGUGACUAAAUGAUAUGUAGAUAGAUUGAUGGUUGGAAGAGGUUAAGAGAGAGGGUGGAAAGAGGUCAGGGAGGGAUUGAGAGUUCUGAGUGAAUGAACAAUACGUAAAUAGAUAGAAAGAUAGAUAGAUAGCCAGAUAGAAGUGUUCAAAGAGUGGAUGAGAAAAGGGAAAAAGGUGGAAGGAGGCAAAGGGAGAAAGAUGAGAGAGGGAGUGAAUGAUAAGUAGAUAGAUAGAUAGAUAGAUAGACAGAUAGAUAGAGGAGGUAAAAAAGGGGAGAAAAAAAAGAAAAAUUUGAAGUGAGGCAGAGGGGAAAGGGAGUGAAUGAAUGGUACUUAGGGAGAUAGAUAGAUAGAUAGGGAGAAAGAUGAGAGAGGGAGUGAAUGAUAAGUAGAUAGAUAGAAGAGGUAAAGAAAGGGAGAAAAGAAAGGAAAAUUUGAAGUGAGGCAGAUUAGAAAAGGGAGUGAAUGAAUGGUACUUAGGGAGAUAGAUAAAUAGAUAGAUAGAUAGAUAGGGAGAAAGAUGAGAGAGGGAGUGAAUGAUAAGUAGAUAGAUAGAAGAGGUAAAGAAAGGGAGAAAAUUGAAAGGAAAAUUUGAAUUGAGGCAGAUUAGGAAAGGGAGUGAAUGAAUGGUGCUUAGGGAGAUAGAUAGAUAGAUAGAUAGAUAGAGAAGAGAGAUUAAAGAGAAGAUUAAAAAGAAAGAAUGAAAAGAAAAGCUAGAUAAACAGAUAGACAGACAGAUAUGGAGACAAAACAAACACAGCUACAUUAAUCAUCGGUAUUAUAAAGCACUUUCGCUCAUCACCUAUUCCUAAAGGUCAAAGAGAGGAUCAAUUGGGUUUUCAUGAGUGUUCCUUUAGGUUCAUGGUACGGAAGAAGAGUCACACUACCACCGGGGUCAUAUAACUACUCCUGGAAAUGCCCAAAACUCCUACGAAAGCCUUGUCAAAUAUGUGUUUCCUUAGGUUCAGGGUACGGAAGAAGAGUUACACUACCACCGGGGUCAUAAAACUACUCCUGGAAAUGCCCAAAACUCCUACGAAAGCCUUGUUAAAUAUGUGUUUCUUUAGGUUCAGGGUACGGAAGAAGAGUUACACUACCACCGGGGUCAUAAAACUACUCCUGGAAAUGCCCAAAACUCCUACGAAAGCCUUGUCAAAUAUGUGUUUCUUUAGGUUCAGGGUACAGAGGAAGGGUCACACUACCACCAGGGUCAUAAAACUACUCCUGGAAAUGCCCCAAACUCCUACGAAAGCCUUGUCAAAUAUGUGUUUCUUUAGGUUCAGGGUACAGAGGAAGAGUUACACUACCACCAGGGUCAUAAAACUACUCCUGGAAAUGCCCAAAACUCCUACGAAAGCCUUGUUAAAUAUGUGUUUCCUUAGGUUCAGGGUACGGAAGAAGGGUUACACUACCACCAGGGUCAUAAAACUACUACUGGAAAUGCCCAAAACUCCUACGAAAGCCUUGUCAAAUAUGUGUUUCUUUAGGUUCAUGGUACAGAGGAAGAGUCACACUACCACCGGGGUCAUAAAACUACUCCUGGAAAUGCCCAAAACUCCUACGAAAGCCUUGUCAAAUAUGUGUUUCCUUAGGUUCAGGGUACGGAAGAAGAGUUACACUACCACCGGGGUCAUAAAACUACUACUGGAAAUGCCCAAAACUCCUACGAAAGCCUUGUCAAAUAUGUGUUUCCUUAGGUUCAGGGUACGGAAGAAGAGUUACACUACCACCGGGGUCAUAAAACUACUACUGGAAAUGCCCAAAACUCCUACGAAAGCCUUGUCAAAUAUGUGUUUCUUUAGGUUCAGGGUACAGAGGAAGGGUCACACUACCACCGGGGUCAUAAAACUACUCCUGGAAAUGCCCAAAACUCCUACGAAAGCCUUGUCAAAUAUGUGUUUCCUUAGGUUCAGGGUACGGAAGAAGAGUUACACUACCACCAGGGUCAUAUAACUACUCCUGGAAAUGCCCAAAACUCCUACGAAAGCCUUGUCAAAUAUGUGUUUCUUUAGGUUCAGGGUACGGAAGAAGAGUCACACUACCACCGGGGUCAUAUAACUACUCCUGGAAAUGCCCAAAACUCCUACGAAAGCCUUGUCAAAUAUGUGUUUCUUUAGGUUCAGGGUACGGAAGAAGAGUUACACUACCACCAGGGUCAUAUAACUACUCCUGGAAAUGCCCAAAACUCCUACGAAAGCCUUGUCAAAUAUGUGUUUCUUUAGGUUCAGGGUACGGAAGAAGAGUUACACUACCACCGGGGUCAUAAAACUACUACUGGAAAUGCCCAAAACUCCUACGAAAGCCUUGUCAAAUAUGUGUUUCUUUAGGUUCAGGGUACAGAGGAAGGGUUACACUACCACCGGGGUCAUAAAACUACUCCUGGAAAUGCCCAAAACUCCUACGAAAGCUUUGUCAAAUAUGUGUUUCCUUAGGUUCAGGGUACGGAAGAAGGGUCACAC